GACGAACGCUGGCGGCGUGCUUAACACAUGCAAGUCGAACGGAAAGGCCCUGCUUUUGUGGGGUGCUCGAGUGGCGAACGGGUGAGUAACACGUGAGUAACCUGCCCUUGACUUUGGGAUAACUUCAGGAAACUGGGGCUAAUACCGGAUAGGAGCUCCUGCUGCAUGGUGGGGGUUGGAAAGUUUCGGCGGUUGGGGAUGGACUCGCGGCUUAUCAGCUUGUUGGUGGGGUAGUGGCUUACCGAGGCUUUGACGGGUAGCCGGCCUGAGGGGGUGACCGGCCACAUUGGGACUGAGAUACGGCCCAGACUCCUACGGGAGGCAGCAGUGGGGAAUAUUGCACAAUGGGCGGAAGCCUGAUGCAGCAACGCCGCGUGCGGGAUGACGGCCUUCGGGUUGUAAACCGCUUUCGCCUGUGACGAAGCGUGAGUGACGGUAAUGGGUAAAGAAGCACCGGCUAACUACGUG
rnacentral:rRNA from 1 species